CUCUUAAAAUGUGUUGGGAGAGGCAUAAAGGUGAACUUAAAAAGAAUUCUGAAAAUAGUGAGAAGUGGUAUCUCAUCCUUUCUUUCUUGCCUCUCCCAUUAAGAAAGAAGCUUCCCAAAGAGCAAAAGAGUGUAUUUUGUAACAAAUCGCUGGCCACAGGCAUUAGUUUCUGCCAGUCAAUAAUGUGUUAAUAUACUGCAUAUUUAGAAAACAAAAUGAAACCAACAAUUAUGGGAAGAGGAAAGAAAAGCCUACAACAAAUGAACUGAUUGUAUUUCAAGUGAAUUCUACUUCUGUAGUGAAGAAGAUAAAAACAAAAUGAAGAACUAAUCCAAGUAACUUUCGAGCACAGUGUUGGACUGGACCCCUGCCGCCUUGGGAUUGAACAAAUGAGGGAAUAUAUUAAUGUUGUUGGGAGCCGAGGACCAGUGCCUGCUUGAGACACAUAAAGGAAUGGUCACAGGGAAAGAGCUGUUCCCCUGAGCCUAACAUCAGUUAUGAUUUACAUGGGAAUCAAGACACAAUGAGAGACAGGCAGAGGGACCCACGGAAGAGAAGGCAAUGUGAAGACUGAAGCAGAGAUUGGAGCAAUGCAGGCACAGAUCAAGAAAUGCCUGCAAUAACCAACUAGGAACUACUUUACAGAACAUGGAACUCUGCUCAAUGUUAUGUGGCAGUCUGGAUGGGAGGGGGGUUUGGGGGAGAAUGCAUACAUGUAUAUGUAUGGCUGAGUCCCUUCUCUGUUCACCUAAAACUAUCACAACACUGUUAAUCAGCUAUCAGUUCAGUUCAGUUCAGUCACUCAGUCGUAUCUGACUCUUUGCGACCCCAUGAAUCGCAGCACGCCAGGCCUCCCUGUCCAUCACCAACUCCCGGAGUUCACUCAAACUCACGU
ensembl:lncRNA